GACGAACGCUGGCGGCGUGCCUAAUACAUGCCAGUAGAACGCUGAAGAGAGGAGCUUGCUCUUCUUGGAUGAGUUGCGAACGGGUGAGUAACGCGUAGGUAACCUGCCUUGUAGCGGGGGAUAACUAUUGGAAACGAUAGCUAAUACCGCAUAACAAUGGAUGACACAUGUCAUUUAUUUGAAAGGGGCAAUUGCUCCACUACAAGAUGGACCUGCGUUGUAUUAGCUAGUAGGUGAGGUAAUGGCUCACCUAGGCGACGAUACAUAGCCGACCUGAGAGGGUGAUCGGCCACACUGGGACUGAGACACGGCCCAGACUCCUACAGGAGGCAGCAGUAGGGAAUCUUCGGCAAUGGGGGCAACCCUGACCGAGCAACGCCGCGUGAGUGAAGAAGGUUUUCGGAUCGUAAAGCUCUGUUGUAAGUCAAGAACGGGUGUGAGAGUGGAAAGUUCACACUGUGACGGUAGCUUACCAGAAAGGGACGGCUAACUACGUG
rnacentral:rRNA from 1 species